GUCCGCGGGAAUUAGAUUCAGGCCUAUCGCACGCUAGUCGAGCGCCAACAAUAUUUUAGCUUGCUAAAAUAGUUGGCGACCGGCGCCCGGGUGAGUACCUCGUAUGCAACUUUCCUCCUACUGGGGGAUACCCCGUUGAAAGACGGAUUAAUACCGCAUAAUACAGGGAUUCCGCAUGGAAAUAUUUGUCUAAAGAGAUAUCGGUAGUAGAUGGGCAUGCGUUUCAUUAGCUAGUUGGCGAGGUAAUAGCUCACCAAGGCAUCCCUGAAUAUGGGGAACUGAGAGGUUUAUCCCCCCCACUGGUACUGAGACACGGACCAGACUCCUUCGGGAGGCAGCAGUGAGGAAUAUUGGUCAAUGGACGCAAG
rnacentral:rRNA from 1 species